CCUGUUUAACAAAAACAUGUCUUUUUGAGUUAUUUUUAAAGUCUGACCUGCCCACUGAAGUUAUUUAAAUGGCCGCAGUAUUCUAACUGUGCAAAGGUAGCAUAAUCAUUAGUCUUYUAAUUGAAGGCUGGUAUGAACGGUUGGACGAGGUAUAAGCUGUUUCAUAUAAAUUUAUAAUAGAAUUUUAUAUUUUAGUCAAAAAGCUAAAAUUUAAUUAAAAGACGAGAAGACCCUAUAAAUCUUUAUACUUUAUAUUGUUUAAAUUUUUUAGAUUAAUUUUAUUUUUAUAAUYUAAAGUAUUUUGUUGGGGUGAUAUUAAAAUUUAAUGAACUUYUAAUUAUUUAAAAUCAUUAAUUUAUGAGUUAUUGAUCCACUAGUAGUGAUUAUAAGAUUAAGUUACUUUAGGGAUAACAGCGUAAUUUUYUUGGAGAGUUCAUAUCGAUAAAAAAGUUUGCGACCUCGAUG
rnacentral:rRNA from 1 species